rnacentral:rRNA from 1 species
AACGAACGCUGGCGGCAUGCCUAACACAUGCAAGUCGAACGAGACCUUCGGGUCUAGUGGCGCACGGGUGCGUAACGCGUGGGAACCUGCCCUUAGGUUCGGAAUAACUCCCCGAAAGGGGUGCUAAUACCGGAUAAUGUCUUCGGACCAAAGAUUUAUCGCCUUUGGAUGGGCCCGCGUUGGAUUAGCUAGUUGGUAGGGUAAAAGCCUACCAAGGCGACGAUGCGUAGCCGACCUGAGAGGGUGAUCGGCCACACUGGAACUGAGACACGGUCCAGACUCCUACGGGAGGCAGCAGUAGGGAAUCUUCCGCAAUGGGCGAAAGCCUGACGGAGCAACGCCGCGUGAGUGAUGAAGGUCUUCGGAUCGUAAAACUCUGUUAUUAGGGAAGAACAAAUGUGUAAGUAACUAUGCACGUCUUGACGGUACCUAAUCAGAAAGCCACGGCUAACUACGUG